rnacentral:rRNA from 1 species
GACGAACGCNGGCGGCGUGCUUAACACAUGCAAGUCGAACGAAGAGCGAUGGAAGCUUGCUUCUAUCAAUCUUAGUGGCGAACGGGUGAGUAACGCGUAAUCAACCUGCCCUUCAGAGGGGGACAACAGUUGGAAACGACUGCUAAUACCGCAUACGAUCUAAUCUCGGCAUCGAGGAUAGAUGAAAGGUGGCCUCUACAUGUAAGCUAUCACUGAAGGAGGGGAUUGCGUCUGAUUAGCUAGUUGGAGGGGUAACGGCCCACCAAGGCGAUGAUCAGUAGCCGGUCUGAGAGGAUGAACGGCCACAUUGGGACUGAGACACGGCCCAGACUCCUACGGGAGGCAGCAGUGGGGAAUCUUCCGCAAUGGACGAAAGUCUGACGGAGCAACGCCGCGUGAGUGAUGACGGCCUUCGGGUUGUAAAGCUCUGUUAAUCGGGACGAAAGNCCUUCUUGCGAAUAGNGAGAAGGAUGACG